rnacentral:rRNA from 1 species
ACGCUCGCACCCUCUGUAUUACCGCGGCUGCUGGCACAGAGUUAGCCGGUGCUUAUUCUGCGAGUAACGUCCACUAUCCUAGAGUAUUAAUCCAAGUAGCCUCCUCCUCGCUUAAAGUGCUUUACAACCAAAAGGCCUUCUUCACACACGCGGCAUGGCUGGAUCAGGGUUCCCCCCAUUGUCCAAUAUUCCCCACUGCUGCCUCCCGUAGGAGUCUGGGCCGUGUCUCAGUCCCAGUGUGGCGGAUCAUCCUCUCAGACCCGCUACAGAUCGUCGCCUUGGUAGGCCUUUACCCCACCAACUAGCUAAUCUGACUUAGGCUCAUCUAUUAGCGCAAGGUCCGAAGAUCCCCUGCUUUCCCCCGUAGGGCGUAUGCGGUAUUAGCAUUCCUUUCGGAAUGUUGUCCCCCACUAAUAGGCA